CCUACGGGGGGCAGCAGUGGGGAAUAUUGGGCAAUGGGCGCAAGCCUGACCCAGCAACGCCGCGUGAAGGAAGAAGGCCCUCGGGUUGUAAACUUCUUUUGUCAGGGACGAAACAAAUGACGGUACCUGACGAAUAAGCCACGGCUAACUACGUGCCAGCAGCCGCGGUAAUACGUAGGUGGCAAGCGUUAUCCGGAUUUACUGGGUGUAAAGGGCGUGUAGGCGGGAGAGCAAGUCAGAUGUGAAAACUACGGGCUUAACUUGUAGACUGCAGUUGAAACUGGUUUUCUUGAGUGAAGUAGAGGUUGGCGGAAUUCCGAGUGUAGCGGUGAAAUGCGUAGAUAUUCGGAGGAACACCGGUGGCGAAGGCGGCCAACUGGGCUUUAACUGACGCUGAGGCUCGAAAGUGUGGGGAGCAAACAGGAUUAGAUACCCCGGUAGUC
rnacentral:rRNA from 1 species